rnacentral:lncRNA from 1 species
AAUGCCAUGUGGACAGAGGUCGAGGCUGGCCACCUGGUCUCUGGUACUUUGGGACGGCAGCCCUAGGCAACAAUGUAGAGCUGUUAAGCCAUGUGCCCACGGUCACACAGCCAGGUGGUCUCACAGCUACAUGUGUUCCGUGCUUGCAGCAGGGUGCUCCAGGGAAUGUGACAUGGUGAUGACUGCUGUUUCUAAUUACUGCCCUAUCAGGAGGCAGAGGAAGGAGCCAGCCUGGUGGGCCACUGAGGAAACGCUGACGUUCCUGAUUGUCGGGUAGCUGGGGCUGGUAGGGCCUGGCUGAUGCCUGCCUGGUCACUUGGGAGUGAGGACUUGCCUUUCCCCAAACAAACUCAACAUCUGAAUGAUUGACAAGGGCACAGCAAUCAAUAAGUCCUUAUUUCCUGAGCACCUAGUGUGCUCCUGGUUUUGUGCUAAGCACAGG